GAGUUYGAUUAUGGCUCAGAACGAACGCUGGCGGCGUGCUUAACACCAUCCAAGUCGAACGCGAACGGGACUUCGGUUCCAAGUAGAGUGGCGCACGGGUGAGUAACGCGUAGAUAACCUGUCUUUAUGUCUGGAAUAACACGCCGAAAGGGGUACUAAUACCGGAUAUGCUUGCAUUUCACAGGUAAGGCAAGCAAAGGUGGCCUCUGGAACAAGCUACUGCAUAGAGAGGGGUCUGCGUACCAUUAGCUAGUAGGUGGGGUAAUGGCCUACCUAGGCGACGAUGGUUAGCGGGUCUGAGAGGAUGAUCCGCCACACUGGCACUGGAAUACGGGCCAGACUCCUACGGGAGGCAGCAGUGAGGUAAUAUUGCGCAAUGGGGGGAACCCUGACGCAGCGACGCCGCGUGAGUGAGGAAGGCCUUCGGGUCGUAAAGCUCUGUCAAGAGGGAAGAAGUGUACGCUGGCCAAUAUCCCGGCGUAA
rnacentral:rRNA from 1 species